rnacentral:lncRNA from 1 species
GUGCCUUGCACAUCCAUGUGCCUCCAAUUGACUGUUGGUUUCUGUUUCUGUUUGUUUUGUUUGAAGUUGCAUACUAACAUCUGCUUGACUGUUUCAGGUGCUUUAGUUGCUUAGUUCCUUGUGAACUUUUUGCUUUGCUUUGCUUGUAUAAGCAAUUUGCAUUGAGGUAUGCCUCCUUUACUUCAUGUAGUCUGGAAGACCUGGUCUGUUACUUGGCCAGGCAACUGUCUGAAGUCCUCCUUAAGAGGCAAUGUUUGUGGAUGUUUACUUUUGUCCCUGCAUAGAGUCAAAGUCCUCCUAAGAGAAGAGGCAAUUGGUGGAAGGUAGG